CUCUCUCCCUCUUGUCUCUCUAAGUUGAUCUCUAUCAUGGCUCUCUCUCUGUCUCCCCAUCGAUGUCUAAGCUUGGUUUUCUUGUUCAGCGCUGAAAGCAGAGGGUGCCGGAGCAGAGCACAUCGACUCUUUUUAUAGUAUUGAAGCAUGAAAGAGGCAGAGUGUUACGUGGAUGAAUUAGUGGUGAAGACAAAGAAACGAGCCGACCAUCUUCAUGAUUUAAGGCAAGUGUUUGAGCGACUGCGAAGGUACCAGUUUAAGGUGAAUCCCUUGAAGUGCGCUUUUGGGGUUACAUCUAGAAAGUUUUUUGGGUUCAUCGUGCGUCACCGCGGUAUAGAGAUUGAGCAAUCUAAAAUUGACGCUAUCCUAAAAAUGCCUAAACCUCGGAAUAUUCAUGAGUUGAAGAGUCUUCAAGGAUGAUUGGCUUAUCUCCACCGCUUCAUAUCAAAUUUGGCUGCUUGAUGUCAACCGCUUUGUGAAGAAAGCGAAUCAUUUUGAGUGGGAUGAAGCGUGCAACAAUGCUUUCAAAAGCAUGAAAUCCUAUUUAACGAGCCCUCCAGUUCCAGUUCUCACUGCUCCUAUACUUUGACGACCAAUAAUCUUGUAUAUCACAGCACAACAACGUUCGAUUGAAGCCCUCCAACCGAAUGCAGAGAUAAUUUUUGCAAAAUUAAGCUUAUCUGUUAGUUAUUUUGUGCAGAUAUAGGAACAAUAUUUGCAGGAAUAAGUUUCUCUAUCUUUAUCUGGGACACAUACAGUAUAAACUUUGCAGAGAUAAUUUUAUGUGUUCAUUACUUUAUGCAGAUAUAGAAAUAAAUUUUGCAAA